GCCGCUGUGAUGGAAUGGCAGACUUGGCUGACUCAAAAUCAGUUGCCCACCGGGCGUGUCGGUUCGAAUCCGACCAGCGGCA
rnacentral:tRNA from 1 species